AUGGGCAUCACAACAAAAGUACGAUCAGAGGGAAAGAUAGUGCAUGCGUUAGCAUCAUCUGGUACUGCGGCUUUGCUGCUCCAAGGUGGAAGAACAUCGCACUCAAGAUUCCACAUUCCAAUAAAUAUCACAUCAGAAUCAACAUGUGAAAUAAAGCAAGGCUCACAUUUGGCUGAACUGGUAAAGAAGACCUUAUUAAUACUGUGGGACGAGGCUCCUAUGGCAAACAAACACUGUUUUGAGGCACUAGACAAAAGCCUUUGGGAUAUUCUAAGGUUCACAAACCAAAAUAGUGAUGAAAGACCAUUUGGUGUGGCAUGA
rnacentral:rRNA from 1 species